rnacentral:tRNA from 1 species
GGUCGAGUAACAUAAUGGUAAUGUGUGGGAUUGCAAAUCCUGCAAUGGCAGUUCAAAUCUGCCCUCGACCU